UGUGUGUGUGUGUGUGUGUGUGUGUGUGUAGUUAAUGCGGCCGCAGUGCUAGAGCUGGUUCUUGUUCAUUUUGUAAACAGAUCGUUAUUAUAAAGCGGACUCAAUCUAGGAUCAGCGGAGAUGGAUGAGGAGUAUUACAGCGGUUCGGGAGAGUGGGACGGAAACGUGGACGGAUAUGUAAUGGAUGCAGAAGCAAAUGGGAAGAUCCAGGAGGACUGCCUCCAGAAGUUCUCCAGCAGAGACUAUAUCAUGGAGCCUACAGUCUUUAACACAUUAAAAACGUAUUUUCAGGCAGGUGGUUCACCUGAACAUGUCAUCCAGCUCCUGUCAGAGAAUUACUCUGCUGUGGCACAGACUGUCAACCUGCUGGCUGAGUGGCUCAUUCAGAUGGGUGUAGAACCAGCCCAGGUGCAGGAAAGAGUCGAAAAUCAUCUGAAGAGCCUACUGAUUAAACACUUUGACCCUCAGAAAGCUGACUCUAUCUUCACUGUGGAAGGAGAGACACCAGCAUGGCUGGAGCAGAUGAUCGCUCACACUACAUGGAGAGAUCUCUUCUACAAACUGGCUGAGGCUCACCCGGACUGUCUGAUGCUCAACUUCACAGUCAAGCUGAUCUCAGAUGCAGGGUAUCAGGGGGAGAUUACCAGCGUCUCUACAGCAUGUCAGCAGCUGGAGGUUUUCUCUCGAGUUUUACGUACCUCACUGUCCACGCUGCUGGAUGGAGGAGAGCAGAACCUGGAGAAGAACCUUCCUGAGUUUGCCAAGAUGGUGUGUCAUGGUGAGCACACAUACCUGUUUGCUCAGGCGAUGAUGUCCAUCCUGGCGCAGGAGGAGCAGGGCGGCUCGACCGUGCGCCGCAUUGGACAGGAAGUGCAGAAAUGUGCCCUUCAGAGUGGGCACGAUGCCAGCCAAAUCACGUUAGCACUAGGCACAGCAGCGGUGUACCCAAGGGCAUGCCAGGCUCUUGGUGCCAUGUUGUCCAAAGGGGCUCUGAACCCGGCCGACAUCACCGUCCUCUUUAAGAUGUUCAGCAGUAUGGAUCCUCCUCCUGUAGAACUGAUUCGUGUUCCCGCCUUCUUGGAUCUCUUCAUGCAGUCUCUCUUUAAACCUGGUGCCAAAAUCAACCAAGACCACAAACACAAGUAUAUCCACAUCCUGGCAUACGCAGCCAGCGUGGUGGAGACAUGGAAGAAGAAUAAGCGUGUCAGCAUCAAUAAGGAUGAAUUGAAGUCCACAUCUAAAGCCAUAGACACAGUCCACAACCUCUGCUGUAAUGAAAACAAAGGAGCUACAGAACUCAUAGCAGAACUUGGCACCCUGUACCAAUGUAUCAGGUUUCCAGUAGUUGCAAUGGGAGUGCUGAAGUGGGUGGACUGGACAGUGUCGGAGCCUCGUUACUUCCAGCUGCAGACUGACCACACCCCUAUCCACCUGGCCCUGCUGGAUGAGAUCAGUACGUGUCAUCAGCUCCUCCAUCCUCAGGUCCUUCAGCUGCUUGUCAAACUAUUUGAGACUGAGCACUCUCAGCUCGACGUCAUGGAGCAGCUGGAACUGAAGAAGACGCUGCUGGAUCGGAUGGUUCACCUGUUGAGCCGAGGGUAUGUCCUGCCGGUGGUCAGUUAUAUUCGGAAGUGUCUGGAGAAACUGAACACGGACAUCUCACUCAUUAGAUACUUUGUGACUGAGUUGUUGAUUCAAGAUGCUGCUAAAACUACAAGGUUCUGGACGUGAUUGCUCCGCCAUACACUUCUGACUUUGUCCAGCUGUUCCUACCAAUCCUUGAGAAUGACAGCAUUGCAGGAACCAUCCGUACUGAAGGAGAACAUGAUCCUGUGGCUGAAUUCAUUGCACACUGCAAGUCCAACUUCAUCAUGAUGAACUGAGCCUGCCAGCAAGAAGCAGAACCAGUAAAUCCAGAACUCAGACUGUAUGUGGCUGGAGUUCUGCACCUGGAUAUCUCCUUCUGUUUCACCCUCGUCAUCUAAUUACUGCCUCUGGGAGUAUUGAUGGGCUUAAUGUUUGAUUUUGGGUGGAUCUUCAGGAGAGAUGCUUAUCUUUUCUACUACAGAUGAUUUGAUUGAGUUAAAUUGUUGUGAAAUUAUUUUCUUUUUGUAUAAAAGUGAUCUUUUAUUAAAAAAACCCAGUCA